UAUUAAGCGGAGGAAAAGAAACUAACCAGGAUUUCCUUAGUAGCGGCGAGCGAACAGGAAUCUAGCCCAGCACUGAAUCCCGCGGCAUUGUCGCUGGGAAAUGUAGUGUUCGGGAGGAUUCACUUAUCCCGAGGCGUACGCUCGAGUCCAAGUCCAUCUUGAAUGGGGCCAAUUACCCGUAGAGGGUGCCAGGCCCGUAGUGACAGAGACGCGCUUCGGGAGAAUCUCUCCUUA
rnacentral:rRNA from 1 species